AACGCACAUUGCGCCCGCUAGUAUUCUGGCGGGCAUGCCUGUCUGAGCGUCAUUUCAACCCUCGCCCCCGGCUUUUUGCUGGGAGCGGUGUUGGGGAUCGGCCGCCCGUCACUGGGAGGCCGGCCCCGAAAUAGAGUGGCGACCACGCCGUGUGCUCCUCUGCGUAGUAGUAAAUCACCUCGCAGGCGGACAGCGGUGCGGCCUGCCGUAAAACCCCCAACUCUUUCUGGUUGACCUCAGAUCAGGUAGGAAUACCCGCUGAACUUAA
rnacentral:misc_RNA from 1 species